UGGAAACGACUGCUAAGACUGGAUAGGAGACAAGAAGGCAUCUUCUUGUUUUUAAAAGACCUAGCAAUAGGUAUGCUUAGGGAGGAGCUUGCGUCACAUUAGUUAGUUGGUGGGGUAAAGGCCUACCAAGACUAUGAUGUGUAGCCGGGCUGAGAGGUUGAACGGCCACAUUGGGACUGAGACACGGCCCAAACUCCUACGGGAGGCAGCAGUAGGGAAUUUUCGGCAAUGGAGGAAACUCUGACCGAGCAACGCCGCGUGAACGAUGAAGUAUUUCGGUACGUAAAGUUCUUUUAUUAGGGAAGAAUAAAUGAUGGAAAAAUCAUUCUGACGGUACCUAAUGAAUAAGCCCCGGCUAACUAUGUGCCAGCAGCCGCGGUAAUACAUAGGGGGCAAGCGUUAUCCGGAAUUAUUGGGCGUAAAGGGUGCGUAGGCGGUUAAAUAAGUUUAUGGUCUAAGUGCAAUGCUCAACAUUGUGAUGCUAUAAAAACUGUUUAGCUAGAGUAAGAUAGAGGCAAGUGGAAUUCCAUGUGUAGUGGUAAAAUGCGUAAAUAUAUGGAGGAACACCAGUAGCGAAGGCGGCUUGCUGGGUCUUUACUGACGCUGAGGCACGAAAGCGUGGGGAGCAAACAGGAUUAGAUACCCUGGUAGUCCACGCCGUAAACGAUGAGUACUAAACGUUGGGUAAAACCAGUGUUGAAGUUAACACAUUAAGUACUCCGCCUGAGUAGUACGUACGCAAGUAUGAAACUUAAAGGAAUUGACGGGACUCCGCACAAGCGGUGGAUCAUGUUGUUUAAUUCGAAGGUACCCGAAAAACCUCACCAGGUCUUGACAUGCUUCUGCAAAGCUGUAGAAACACAGUGGAGGUUAUCAGUUGCACAGGUGGUGCAUGGUUGUCGUCAGCUCGUGUCGUGAGAUGUUGGGUUAAGUCCCGCAACGAGCGCAACCCUUAUUGUUAGUUACCAGCACGUAAUGGUGGGGACUUUAGCAAGACUGCCAGUGAUAAAUUGGAGGAAGGUGGGGACGACGUCAAAUCAUCAUGCCCCUUAUGACCUGGGCUACAAACGUGAUACAAUGGCUGUUACAAAGGGUAGCUGAAGCGCAAGUUUUUGGCGAAUCUCAAAAAAACAGUCUCAGUUCGGAUUGAAGUCUGCAACUCGACUUCAUGAAGUUGGAAUCGCUAGUAAUCGCGAAUCAGCAUGUCGCGGUGAAUACGUUGACGGGGUUUGUACACACCGCCCGUCAAA
rnacentral:rRNA from 1 species